GAACAUAAUUAUAAUUUAAUGAAAGAGCAACAGAAUCUUGAUCCUGUAAAAAUACAAAAAAUACAUCACAAUGCAGAAAAAAUUAUAUAGAUGAUCCUGAAACAUGCAGAAUCAAAGAAGCAGAAAAUCUUGAUUCCAUGGAAAUAUGUGACAACAUUGAACAAGUUUCCCAGACGAGUACACCACGUACUUCAAGAAUUAAAAAUCAAGGAAUAAUUGUUUCGCCAUAUCUAUAAGAAAACACGCCACGGAAACAAUCGUUGAGAACUGCGUUGGUGUAUACGAGAAAAGAAUUUCAGAAAAAAAUUAAAAUGUUACAACAAAAGCAACGACGAACCAUUAAGUGUGUUGCAAAAUUGAAAAAUGUAUUGACAUGUUUGAAAAAAAAAAAUCUUCUUAAUGCAGAACAGCUGGAUGUCUUAAAAGAUUUAGACUUAUUUCUCUCAUCCGAUAACGGACAGAAAAGUUACUGUAUUUCUCGACCCAUGCCAUUGUGUGAAACUAUUACGUAAUUGUAUUGGAGAACAUAAAUCAAUAAUUGAUGACAAUGGUGAUAUGAUCCAAUGGGAACAUUUUACGAAGCUUAAUGACAUUCAAGUUAAGGAAAGUCUACACUUGGGUAAUAAAUUAAGAACGCGUCAUAUACAAUACCAUAAACAAAAAAUGAAAGUAAAACUCACAGUGCAAAUCUUCAGUAAUUCUGUAGCUGAUGCAUUAGAAAUUUGUAAAAAUGAUUUACGAUAUACAGAUUUUGCAAAUUCGGCCCCAACGAUAAGAUUCAUACGAAUAAUAAAUGAUCUUUUUGAUAUCUUAAAUUCGAGGAACAUGAAACAGAUAGGGUUCAAACAACCGUUAAAUAAAAACAAUAGUUCUAUAAUUUUGGAAAAAUUAAAAGAAGGCUAUAAUUUCCUAUCACAAUUACGAAAGACAGAUGGUCAAUUGUUGAUUUAUCCUAAAAAUAAAUGUGCAUUCCUCGGUUUUAUGAUAUGUAUCAAAAGUAUAACAAUACUUUAUAAAGAUUUAGUUGUUAGUCAAGACGUAUUAAAAUAUAUAUCAGGUUAUAAAUUUAACCAAGAUCACGUUGAAUUGUUAUUCAGCUCUAUACGAGCUCAUGGAGGUUCUAACAAUAACCCGACGGCUCGGUAAUUUAAAGCCGCUUAUAAAAAAAUUCUUGUCCAUACAGAGAUCACAGAGACAGCAACUGGUAAUUGCAUCCCGCUAGAAAUAAUUUCAAUACUACAUGUUUCUGCGAAUUCUGCAACUAUAAUAAAUCAGUCAACUCCGAAAUCUCGAGUAAUAGAUGAUAGCAAUCAUGAAGAUAGGAACGAAAAUUUACCUCUUUUGCUUGAUACAAUAACGCUUUCAGAAUUUACAACGAGAGUUAUAGCUUAUAUUGCAGGUUUUGUUGUAAGACAUUUAGAAAAAAUUCUACAUUGUGAAACUUGUAUCGAAGCUCUUACUGGCAACGA